AUCCAGAUGACGAGCCCAAAAUGGGGCGAAAUGCUCCUUAUCCUGGAU
rnacentral:hammerhead_ribozyme from 1 species